rnacentral:piRNA from 1 species
UUACGUUAUAACAAAGCUUUUCUCCUCAAA